UACGUAGGGGGCAAGCGUUGUCCGGAAUCAUUGGGCGUAAAGAGCGUGUAGGCGGCCCGGUCAGUCCGCCGUGAAAGUCCAGGGCUCAACCCUGGAAUGCCGGUGGAUACUGCCGGGCUAGAGUCCGGAAGAGGCGAGUGGAAUUCCUGGUGUAGCGGUGAAAUGCGCAGAUAUCAGGAGGAACACCAAUGGCGAAGGCAGCUCGCUGGGACGGUACUGACGCUGAGACGCGAAAGCGUGGGGAGCAAACAGG
rnacentral:rRNA from 1 species